rnacentral:rRNA from 1 species
GACGAAGGCGGCGGCGUGCCCUAUACAUGCAAGUAGAACGCUGAAGAGAGGAGCUUGCUCCUCUGGUUGAGUUGCGAACGGGUGGGUAACGCGUAGGUAACCUGCCUUGUAGCGGGGGAUAACUAUUGGAAACGAUAGCUAAUACCGCAUAACAAUGGAUGACUCAUGUCAUUUAUUUGAAAGGGGCAAAUGCUCCACUACAAGAUGGACCUGCGUUGUAUUAGCUAGUAGGUGAGGUAACGGCUCACCUAGGCGACGAUACAUAGCCGACCUGAGAGGGUGAUCGGCCACACUGGGACUGAGACACGGCCCAGACUCCUACGGGAGGCAGCAGUAGGGAAUCUUCGGCAAUGGGGGCAACCCUGACCGAGCAACGCCGCGUGAGUGAAGAAGGUUUUCGGAUCGUAAAGCUCUGUUGUUAAGGAAGAACGAGUGUGAGAAUGGAAAGUUCAUACUGUGACGGUACUUAACCAGAAAGGGACGGCUAACUACGUGCCAGCAGCCGCGGUAAUACGUAGGUCCCGAGCGUUGUCCGGAUUUAUUGGGCGUAAAGCGAGCGCAGGCGGUUAGAAAAGUCUGAAGUGAAAGGCAGUGGCUCAACCAUUGUAGGCUUUGGAAACUGUUUAACUUGAGUGCAGAAGGGGAGAGUGGAAUUCCAUGUGUAGCGGUGAAAUGCGUAGAUAUAUGGAGGAACACCGGUGGCGAAAGCGGCUCUCUGGUCUGUAACUGACGCUGAGGCUCGAAAGCGUGGGGAGCGAACAGG